rnacentral:lncRNA from 1 species
AAAUGCUCCGCAGGGCCAGGCUCCCGGCUUGCACAGCUGGCUGGUCUUCCGCCUGGACAGACGUCAUGAAUGUGGCUCAGACCCAGAGCGCGGCCCCACUCGUUUCGGGGAGGACAGGAGUUGGGUUUAAUUUGGGCAACAUGCAGUGCCGUGUGUGAGCGGAACACGCAUUCCCGUGGGGUUAGAAACGUCCAGCUCCUUAUGGGGGUCAUGGUCAGAAUGGCCUGGACCUUCACUACGGCCAGCCCCUGACCACUGUGAUUCUGCGGGGCUGGGGCUGGGGCUGGGCCUGGGCCUGUGCUGCAGGUGAGUCCUGCCCAGGUGGGGAGUGCUCGGAGGUCAACAGCACUAUUGCCGUGUUAAUCCACCCCCCGAGCCAAUGCUUCCCACACUUCGCUUCAAUCACGCGACAGUCCUGAGCGGAUGGAGUGCACUGGUGUGAUCUCAGCUCAACCUCCGCAUCCCAGGCUCAGCGACAGGGUUUCGCCACGCUGCCCAGACUGGUCUCAAUUCCUGGGCUUAAGUGAUCUGUCUGCCUUGGCCUCCCAUCGUGCUGAGAUGACAGGCGUGAGCCACUGCACCCGGCCCAGGCUGUUUUCAAUUCCCCGUGUUCUGCUACCUUCCAGGUGGGGCGGGCUGGGAGGCCUCUUCUAGAGGGGCCCUCAGGCUGCUCCAAGCCCUGGAAUGCAGCCCUGGUGGCCUCAGAACACCCCAGCAGGCUGGACCCGUGCCUCUGCCCCAGGGUGUAGGGUCCGGGUGGCCUGGGGUCGUCCCCUUGGGAGCUGCAUGGGUGGCCGCUGCUACUCCUACCUGGGAGGACAUCCCGUGGCAGGGGUAGAGGAUCGCCCGGUCGCCGUCCUCCGCUCCCUGGUCCAGACAGUAGGCACUGGCUUUGCUGUUUCUCACCUGCAAGCAGAAGCCCCAGGAGAAAGUCCAGAGUCACCCGAGGGUGCGGCCCCAGGGAGCUUCACGCAGCCAGCUCUGCAGCCAGCACCUAAGGAGGAACCCUGACAGCCCUCUGAGAACAAGCCCGGGCCAGACUGCUGGGGGAUGUGUUGUCAUCGGGCAGCCAACCUCCAGCCUCCAGAACAGGCCCAUCGGAGAUCAGCACAGCCUGGAUCAGGCCAGCAGCACUGCCUGGGUGGCCCCGGCUCGUGAGCAAGUGUAGAUGCUUAUUGCUUUUGUCCACCGCGUCUCCAGGCUGCUGGGUUUGCAGCAGCAGCUGACCCAUCCACCACGGCCACCACGAGAGGUCACACAGGUACCACUUGAAGCUGCGACACUUCAGCCUCUGACGCAGGGCCAGCCUCUCAGACACGUCCCCGAAGUCCACCCCUGGGUUCUGCAAGGCCAGAAGUAGGUGAGAGGAGGGUCUGAGGCAGCUGCUCCUGAUGGGAAGGACCCUGCCAGAGGCCAGCCCCGGCCUGGACAGACGGCCCCUGCUGCAGCCGGCUCGUCCACACCCACCCGGGCCCAGGAACCUCCUGCCUGAGAAGACGGCCCUGCUCACCUGGCCUUACUGCACGGCAUCAGCCUGACCUCUGGAGGGUGGAGACUGAGGUCAGCCAUAUCCAGAGACCAGCCUGGCCUGAGUAGGACAGAAAGGCCGAGGCAGGGAGUGUUCACACACUCUGCUCGAUUCGGGCUGGGACGUGGGUCCUCCCCUGCCUUCAGGCUUGGAGCUCACGCCACCGGCUCUCCUGGGCGCCUGCCAGCCGACGGCCAAUCUCGGUACCCUCAGCCCCCGUAACCGGGUGAGUCAAUUCCUUAGAUGAACUUUCACAGCUAAGCCCACGUCCCCACCAUCUGCUAUUAAUCUGUUUCCCUGGAGAGCCCUGAGCCAGCCCCGUCCCAUCCUAUCCUACCCUAUCCUGUGCUGUCCCAUCCCAUCCACCCCAUUAAAAAAAGGCCGAUGCCACCCACGGGCUGACAUCACUAUGAACAAAUGGGUCUGAUCCACGUGGCCCAAGCUCCGCCGUGCUCAGGUCCUCAGCCCUGAGCCUGCCAUGCUGGACGAGUGUGCCAGGCCCAGGGCGGGCACUGUGCUUGCCUCAUCUCCUGAAUCCCCCCACCACCCGAGAAAGGGUGGGCAGCCCUGGCAUUGCCCCGUUCCCUCCGCGGUGCUGAGAAGGUGCCGAGGCCGAGGGUGGUGCCAACUGCAGGGGCGCACGGGGUGGAGCCUCUGCCCAGCUGAGCUCGGAUCCCUCAGUCAUCCCUGGACUCUGGUUCAUCCUCGUCCAGGCUGCUCUCAUCUCCAGGCCGUUAUCUUAAUCAUGUCUGCAAAGAUCCCUUUUCCCAAAGAGGGCCACACUCACACGUCCCCUAGCUGCAUCCUCCGGGGGUCGCCUGUCAGCCCAGCCC